CAAAUUUUACAAACUAUUAUUUCAUUAUUUCACUCAUUGUCCCCCCAUUCAAAACCCUAGCAGACCCAUUUCGAAACCCAGCCGCGCCUCUGCCCACGUCUGUCUGCCCCCACCGUUGGUUCCCAAACUCUGGUAAGCACCUUGGCCGCCACCGUAUGCUAAUUUGUUCUUUUUUUGGUUUAUAUGAUUUAUCCCUAAUUUGUAUGCUUUCUUCCUCAUUUCCAUUUCCCACUUCAAUGCACCAUAGCCAAACAACCAAACUCUCAUCUUCUCUCUUCGUAGAUCGAGCAGAUAUGUUGUGGGCAGUGACGAAACAAGUGGCUCAGGAAUUUUACGGCUUCCCUUCAAAUCCCACUUUCCCUUUUUCUCUUGUAUUUUCACGAUAACCUCUUCACUCUUGCCAGACCUUAAAAUCAGAGCAGGUCUUGUGAUUUUCUUAAAAAUCUCAAAUCAUCUUCAGCCAUUCUCAGUUAGAGACAUCACUCUCUAUCGUGCAUGAGACCCUUAUUUAAGGUGUCUUGAGUAGAGAAAAAUGGAUAAAGUGAUUGUUAAGGGUUCUUUCCAAAUUAAGAAGGAAUAGUCUUACUUUGCACUAAGUUUGAAGCUUAUCAUUCAAAUGGUAAUGUAGUUUCUGGAGAUAAAUCUAAGGAGGUAUAAUUCGUUAAUUUCUGCCAUCCUCUUACACAUGAAUAAGCUUUACUCUCAUUUGUAACAAUAUCUCCUCGAUAGAUAUCCUUAGUUUGGUUCCAACAGAUAAUAAAAUUUAUGAUACUUCAAUUCUAAGUUCCUUCUGUGCUCACUACUGAUUCUUAUCAAUCUCAAUAGAUUUUGGUUAAAGAUAUCUGGGUAUUUGAGAAAUCCCUCUUUCAUCCUGGUUCUUAUUGGCAUCUUUGGAGUCGGAUAUCGCUCUAAGCAAGCUGUUCUGACAUGCUGAUGACAAAUAAAGUCUUAUACCCAAUUUUGUAAGCUGCAGAUAAUAAUAAACUUUCUUAUGAUUCAUUCACUUGGCUAUAUUAUUUAUAGCACUGAAGAAAUCAUCCCUCUCUUAUUUCUCUGUUUUUGUUUUACUUUCCAUUUCUGCUAUUACUUUUUCACUGCCAAUUGAGUUUUUAUGGGUUUGUUUAUGGUGUUUGUUUACAGAUUUUGGUAUUUUCUAUACUUAAUUCUGUGACAAAAAAGAAAAAAAUGGAUGGAGAAGAGUAUGGAGAUUAUAAGAAAUUCAUAUUUAUCUUCUGCUACUUUGCACAAUAAGAGGUUGUUUUUUCUUUUUUGCCUAUUUAUUAUAUAACAAUGUCAUUUCUGAAGAGAAUAAAAAAGAAUUAAUCUGUCUUUAUUUCUUAUUCUUUUUUAAUGUAUGUAUAUAUGUAUAGUUCACAUGCAUUCCUUGUUGAUGAUGUUGUCAUCCCAAAUGAAGACUCUGUUUUAGAUAUAUUGAUUCGGGAAAAUGCUUGUUUCUGCCCUCGUGACCUCAGUGGGAAUACACUUUGGUCUGUGUAUCAUAUUUUUCACUUUGUACUCUAUAUUGAGCAAACAACCCAACAAUUAUGAAGUUUAUGUGCCUCGUUUGAUGGCCUAAGGGAAAUCUAAAAGGAGAGGUAAUUUUAACUUGGAAAGGCUUAUACCUUCUACUGGUUUGUUGAAAAGUGCUUAUAUGCUCUCUGAAGAGGAAUUGUUGUCGUCCUCGGGUUUGGAUGCUGUCGUUUUUAUGCAUGUUAUUACCUUCCCGUACUUUAGUUGAAGUGUUUGUUGUUCU